rnacentral:rRNA from 1 species
UACAGAGGGUGCGAACGUUGCUCGGAAUUACUGGGCGUAAAGCGCGUGUAGGCGGGUCGGCAAGUCAGAUGUGAAAUCCCUGGGCUCAACCUAGGAAUUGCAUCUGAAACUGCCGGUCUUGAGUGUGGGAGAGGGUAGCGGAAUUCCUGGUGUAGAGGUGAAAUUCGUAGAUAUCAGGAGGAACACCGGUGGCGAAGGCGGCUACCUGGACGACUACUGACGCUGAGACGCGAAAGCGUGGGGAGAAAACAGG